rnacentral:rRNA from 1 species
CGGGGGGCUGCAGUGAGGAAUAUUGGGCAAUGGGCGAAAGCCUGACCCAGCAACGCCGCGUGAAGGAUGAAUGUCGUAAGAUUGUAAACUUCUUUUCUAGGGGACGAAUUGUCAAAUUCUGUAAGGGAUUUGAUUUGACUGUACCUUUGGAAUAAGCCCCGGCUAACUACGUGCCAGCAGCCGCGGUAAUACGUAGGGGGCUAGCGUUGUCCGGAUUUACUGGGUAUAAAGGGCGCGUAGGCGGGCUUGUAAGUCAGAGGUGAAAUCCUGCAGCUUAACUGUAGAACUGCCUUUGAAACUGCAAGUCUUGAGUUCGGAAGAGAGAGAUGGAAUUCCAGGUGUAGUGGUGAAAUACGUAGAUAUCUGGAAGAACACCAGUGGCGAAGGCGAUCUCUUGGUCCGUAACUGACGCUGAGGCGCGAAAGCGUGGGGAGCAAACAGGAUUAGAUACCCGAGUAGUC